GACUAAGCCAUGCAUGUCUAAGUCCAAGCUGUGUGUUGGGUGCAAGCUCACACACGGCGAAACCGCGGACGGCUCAUUAAAUCAGUCGUGGUCCAAAUGGGCUAGUGUUAUCCUACUUGGAUAACUGUGGUAAUUCCAGAGCUAAUACAUGCAACUGAAAUCCUGAAUUGCUGUGGCUUCUUCUCUUCGCGGGGAGGUUGUUCACGCUGCGACGGAUGCUUUUAUUAGACCAAACCGCUUAGAGAGACUUGCUCUCUCGAAGACUCGUGUUAUGGUGACUCUGAAUAACACCACUUGACAAGCGCACGUAUCCAUUCGUUUGGGACGGCGCUGCCACUUUCGAGUGUCUGCCUUAUCAGCUAUGUAUCGUUCGUUAUGUGCGACCGAUGGCUUUGACGGGUAACGGGGAAUCAGGGUUCGAUUCCGGAGAGGCAGCCUGAGAAACGGCUACCACGUCCAAGGACGGCAGCAGGCACGCAAAUUACCCAAUCCCAGCACAUGGGGGAGGUAGUGACGAAAUCUAACGAUGCGGGCGCCCCUUCUGGGGCCCCGCAAUCGGAAUGAGCAUUUUCUUUCUAAACACCCUGUUGAGAACCUACUGAAGGGCAAGUCUGGUGCCAGCAGCCGCGGUAAUUCCAGCUUCAGCAGCAUCUACUAAAGUUGCUGCGGUUAAAAGGCUCGCAGUUGAAUGUCAGUAUCAAGUGCAGCGAUGGUGGACGUUGGAGUGUGGGAGCAACUCGCUAGGCGCGGCUCACGCUGUGUCGAGCGUGCCUCCCCACCUAGCUCCCGUCCGUAACAAGCCUCCUCACUUGCGUGCAAAGUGGAAUCUGUUUUGGUUUUUGUGGAUGUGUUCUCGCACUUGUGCUGUGGUCGUGUGUGUGCGGUGCUUGCACUGUCGCGCGCGGCUGCGGGGCGAUGUGGGAGCCUCUUCGAGAGCUGGUUUUCAAAGUCACCUUGAGUAAAUCAGAGUGCUCAAAGCAGUCGUAAGGAAUGUGCAGCUUGCUGUACGUUCUGUGAUGAAUGUCUUUAUUGACAGACGGUCUUGGUUUUGCAAGGUAUGUCGAAAGACGCCGUAUUUCUUGUUGGUAACGAGUCUGGUGCGGGCUCGCACCCGUGUGUGCGCUCUCUCUCGGGAGGGUGUGUGCGCGAGUGUGACACGUGAGACCAACAAGUGCGGAAUGAUUAAGAGGUUCGGUCGAGGGCAUUGGUAUUGCGAGGCGAGAGGUGAAAUUCUAUGACCCCCGCAAGACCUCCUGAAGCGAAAGCGUCUGCCAAGGACGUUUUCAUUAAUCAKAACGACCAGGCGUGGACCUGCGGCUUAAUUUGACUCAACACGGGCCAUCUCACAGGCCAGCACUCUUGUACGAUUGACAGAUUGAGAGUUCUUUCUCGAUUCAGUGGAUGGUGGUGCAUGGCCGUUCUUAGUUGGUGGAGUGAUCUGUCUGGUUAAUUCCGAUAACGAACGAGACUCUCCCCUGCUAACUAGUCGGUUGGAUCUUGCAUCUGGAGAGUUGUGGGGCGCCGCGUCUGUGGCGUUUGCGUCGAGGGCUCUGUGUAGGUGGGUUUCGGCUCGCUUGCGCGUUGUCUCUUUGCGUGUGCGCUCUCUCGUGCGUGUCUCACACUCCAAGUCCGCCGCUUAUUCGGAUGUGAUGUGUAACAGCAAAGCUAUGAGUAAAACUCUUCUUAGAGGGAUUCACGGUUCUGAAGCCGUAAGAAACUGAGAGCAAUAACAGGUCUGUGAUGCCCUUAGAUGUUCUGGGCCGCACGCGCGCUACAAUGCCGGGCUCAGCAGGUGUUCAUCCUUCUCCGAGAGGAGUGGGUAACCCUCUGAAAGCUCUCUAUCAUUAUCAUUGGCUUGGGGUGUUCCCUUCGCGGGGUUCGCUCCUUUGCCUCCAUGGCUUGCUUGGGCCUGGGGCUUGCAAUUCUUUCCCACCAACGAGGAAUGCCUAGUAGCGGCGGGUCACUGAGCCCGCCGUGACUCAGUCCCUGCCCUUUGUACACACCGCCCGUCGCUACUACCGAUUGGGUGUACCAGUGAGAUCCUUGGACUGGCGAGCCUUGUACACCAGCAAUGGAGUGCAAGUGUGUGCGACGGGAAGAGGCUCGAACUGGUGCACUUAGAGGAAGUAAAAGUCGUAACAAGGGUCC
rnacentral:rRNA from 1 species